CCUACGGGAGGCAGCAGUGGGGAAUAUUGCACAAUGGGGGAAACCCUGAUGCAGCGACGCCGCGUGAGUGAAGAAGUAUUUCGGUAUGUAAAGCUCUAUCAGCAGGGCAGAAAAUGACGGUACCUGAAUAAGAAGCCCCGGCUAACUACGUGCCAGCAGCCGCGGUAAUACGUAGGGGGCAAGCGUUACCCGGAUUUACUGGGUGUACAGGGAGCGUAGACGGCAGCGCAAGUCUGGAGUGAAAUGCCGGGGCUUAACCCCGGAACUGCUUUGGAAACUGUGCAGAUAGAGUGCAGGAGUGGUAAGUGGAAUUCCUAGUGUAGCGGUGAAAUGCGUAGAUAUUAGGAGGAACACCAGUGGCGAAGGCGGCUUACUGGACUGUAACUGACGUUGAGGCUCGAAAGCGUGGGGAGCAAACAGGAUUAGAUACCCGGGUAGUC
rnacentral:rRNA from 1 species